rnacentral:snRNA from 1 species
GGAGAGGCCACGGGCUGUGACCCCUGUCACCCCAGUGAUCGCCAGGUGCCAGGGUUGACUCUGUGGAUCUGGCUGGCGGGCAGGUGUCCCUGCCUCCCUCACCCUCCACCUGCGUCCCUCCCUAAGCUGCGCACCGUGUGGAAGAGGACGACCUUCCCGGGUGGAGGAGAGGACCUUCUCGGAAGGGGGGA